rnacentral:tRNA from 1 species
UGCGGAUUAGAGCAGAGGAAGCUCGCCGGCCUCAUAAGCCGGAGGACGCUGGUUCGAAUCCAGCAUCCGCAA